AGCCAAUCCCAAACAGAGGCUGAAUAGGGUCAAGAGGCUGUGGGAAAUCCAAGGUGAUUUAGAAGCUGUUGAUCUGGGAUUAGGCUUUUUCCUAUUGAAGUUUGAGGUAAAGUCAGAUUUCACAAAAGUAUUCACAGGAGGGCCAUGGGUUAUUUUAGAUCACUGUUUGACUGUGAGAAAAUGGAAGGCAGAUUUCAAGCCAUCUGUAGCUGAAGACAUCUCCACAGCUGUGUGGGGUGGGUCACCGGCAAGAACACUGUGGAAGGACUCCGACUACGAACCCAGACAAGUCCACAGCAGCUUUUGACAACACCAAGGCACACCGGCGCGUGGAAAACUCAGCCUCUGCUGAAACUAUGGAGCCGGAUCAGACGAAACCAGGUAUGGGCCGGGCCAUGGAUGCUUGUAGCUCGAAAGCCCAAACGACCAAACCAAGGGAAGAAACCUAUAACGAACCAACCCAAUUUGGAGAAGAACAGAUUUGGUCCACUACAAAAUGCUAAAGAAGGUGCGCGGAUGCCUUGCUCAUGUGGGUGAAAACCAGGUGGAAGAUUUGAAUAUCUAUAAAGACACAUAUUUGUUAGAAAAAAAAAAAAAAAAAAA